rnacentral:rRNA from 1 species
AGAGUUUGAUCCUGGCUCAGGAUGAACGCUAGCGGCAGGCUUAACACAUGCAAGUCGAGGGGCAGCAUAAUGGAUAGCAAUAUCUAUGGUGGCGACCGGCGCACGGGUGCGUAACGCGUAUGCAACCUACCUUUAACAGGGGGAUAACACUGAGAAAUUGGUACUAAUACCCCAUAAUAUCAUAGAAGGCAUCUUUUAUGGUUGAAAAUUCCGAUGGUUAGAGAUGGGCAUGCGUUGUAUUAGCUAGUUGGUGGGGUAACGGCUCACCAAGGCGACGAUACAUAGGGGGACUGAGAGGUUAACCCCCCACACUGGUACUGAGACACGGACCAGACUCCUACGGGAGGCAGCAGUGAGGAAUAUUGGUCAAUGGACGCAAGUCUGAACCAGCCAUGCCGCGUGCAGGAAGACGGCUCUAUGAGUUGUAAACUGCUUUUGUACGAGGGUAAACGCUCUUACGUGUAAGAGCCUGAAAGUAUCGUACGAAUAAGGAUCGGCUAACUCCGUGCCAGCAGCCGCGGUAAUACGGAGGAUCCAAGCGUUAUCCGGAUUUAUUGGGUUUAAAGGGUGCGUAGGCGGUUUGAUAAGUUAGAGGUGAAAUACCGGUGCUUAACACCGGAACUGCCUCUAAUACUGUUGGACUAGAGAGUAGUUGCGGUAGGCGGAAUGUAUGGUGUAGCGGUGAAAUGCUUAGAGAUCAUACAGAACACCGAUUGCGAAGGCAGCUUACCAAACUAUAUCUGACGUUGAGGCACGAAAGCGUGGGGAGCAAACAGGAUUAGAUACCCUGGUAGUCCACGCAGUAAACGAUGAUAACUCGUUGUCGGCGAUACACAGUCGGUGACUAAGCGAAAGCGAUAAGUUAUCCACCUGGGGAGUACGUUCGCAAGAAUGAAACUCAAAGGAAUUGACG